GUGGGGAAUUUUGGACAAUGGGCGCAAGCCUGAUCCAGCAAUGCCGCGUGCAGGAAGAAGGCCUUCGGGUUGUAAACUGCUUUUGUACGGAACGAAACGGUCCUGGUUAAUACCCGGGGCUAAUGACGGUACCGUAAGAAUAAGCACCGGCUAACUACGUGCCAGCAGCCUCGGUAAUACGUAGGGUGCAAGCGUUAAUCGGAAUUACUGGGCGUAAAGCGUGCGCAGGCGGUGCUGUAAGACAGGCGUGAAAUCCCCGGGCUUAACCUGGGAAUUGCGCUUGUGACUGCAGUGCUGGAGUGCGGCAGAGGGGGAUGGAAUUCCGCGUGUAGCAGUGAAAUGCGUAGAUAUGCGGAGGAACACCGAUGGCGAAGGCAAUCCCCUGGGCCUGCACUGACGCUCAUGCAAGAAAGCGUGGGGAGCAAACAGGAUUAGAUACCCCAGUAGUCC
rnacentral:rRNA from 1 species